rnacentral:tRNA from 1 species
GCAGUAGUGGUUCAGUGGUAGAAUUCUUGCCUUUCAUGCGGGAGACCUGGGUUCGAUUCCCAGCCAAUGCA